rnacentral:rRNA from 1 species
AUUGAACGCUGGCGGCAGGCCUAACACAUGCAAGUCGAGCGGCAGCGGGAAAGUAGCUUGCUACUUUUGCCGGCGAGCGGCGGACGGGUGAGUAAUGCCUGGGAAAUUGCCCAGUCGAGGGGGAUAACAGUUGGAAACGACUGCUAAUACCGCAUACGCCCUACGGGGGAAAGCAGGGGACCUUCGGGCCUUGCGCGAUUGGAUAUGCCCAGGUGGGAGUAGCUAGGUGGUGAGGUAAUUGCUCAUCAAGGCGACGAUCCCUAGCUGGUCUGGGAGUAUGAACAGCCGCACUGGAAGAGAGACGCGGUCCAGACUCCUACGGGAGGCAGCCGUGGGGAAUAUUGCACGAUGGGGGAAACCCUGAUGCAGCCAUGCCGCGUGUGUGAAGAAGGCCUUCGGGUUGUAAAGCACUUUCAGCGAGGAGGAAAGGUUGAUGCCUAAUACGCAUCAACUGUGACGUUACUCGCAGAAGAAGCACCGGCUAACUCCGUGCCAGCAGCCGCGGUAA